rnacentral:lncRNA from 1 species
AGCUUUUCUCUCCAAUCCCGAGGUAUUUUUAGUACAUAAGUCGUUCCUAAAAAUCAUUAUGAUGCAUUUUUCUGCACAAGUGUUCAGAAUUAGAUACUUGUAAACCUAGAAAGAAAUAUAGUAAGUCUUUCUCAUAACCAUACCGCCAAUCUCUAGAGUUCAAAACUCAAUGUCAUUACUAGGCCCAUCUCACUUUUGAUCUCUCUUUUUUUCUUCCUUGUGUAAGACUUCUC